rnacentral:rRNA from 1 species
UACGUAGGGGGCAAGCGUUGUCCGGAUUUAUUGGGCGUAAAGAGCGUGUAGGCGGCUUUGCAAGUCCGUUGUGAAAACUCGAGGCUCAACCUCGAGACGCCGGUGGAAACUGCAAAGCUAGAGUCCGGAAGAGGAGAGCGGAAUUCCUGGUGUAGCGGUGAAAUGCGCAGAUAUCAGGAAGAACACCCGUGGCGAAGGCGGCUCUCUGGGACGGUACUGACGCUGAGACGCGAAAGCGUGGGGAGCGAACAGG